CUGCAGAGUAUCGAGAAGGGCUUGGUGCAGGCCUUGGGUGUGCUGCUGGGGACUUUUUGGUGAAAGGAAAUGCUACUUUGGAAUGUUGCAGAGUAACAGAUGGAAGUCAGAAUGACAGAAGGACAGAAAGUAUCUGGGGCUGCAGAAAGAGAAAGAUCAAAAAUAAGUGGGGACAUAGAGACAUUCUAGCUGUUUGCAAUAAUUACACACAGAAGACUGAUGUGAAGGUCAGUCUCCAACAUCUGGAAAUGGAAACAGAUUCUUAAUUAGGGCAACCGUGAUGGAGCCACCUCUGAAACCAGCGAUGAGGA